rnacentral:lncRNA from 1 species
UACAUAGAUAUAGAUCAAUAACUCCGAUCUUGAAUUGAAGGAUCCAAUCAUUCUUUUUUAGGACGUUGUUCGAUUUUGACCGUUCAUUUUAUGCCCACUUGAUGGACUUUAUUAUGAUUUCGAAAAUUUACGAAAUUUAUUUUCUAGUAGUUUCAAAUACUCUAGAUCAUAUUUAACGGAGUGGAUCGUCGUUUCAGAAGUUCCAUCAUUGAAAAUAACUUAUGAGUACGAGGGCUCCAAUACUCAUAAUAGUAUAGCAGCC